rnacentral:tRNA from 2 species
GCCGCUAUGGUGGAAUUGGCAGACACAGCGGACUUAAAAUCCUCCGGUAGAAAUACCGUACCGGUUCGAGCCCGGUUAGCGGCACCA